UGUUUCGUUUUGAUCUUUUUUUUGUCACGCUGUUCUAUUAUGCAAGCGAUGUGAUGGCAGUGACGACUUGGUAAUAUUCAAGCUCAACAGACCAAAUCACAGGUCUUCCUCUCUGGAUCUACUCCUCUGGGAUUGAUUUGUAUGCCGAUUUUCCCGCUGAACCGAGCCAUCUUGUAUUGCUCUUUUUAUUAUUUAUGGUUUGAUAUUUUGUGUUAAAAUUUGUAUAUUUUUUGUUCCAUUUCGGUUUAGAUCUGUGUUCUUUGCAUUGGAGGAGGCUGUUGCGAUGAGGAUAUUAUGCUCCCUCUUCUGAAGGCAUUGAGGACGCUCGCUGGCAGAAUCGAACCAAUUAUUAAAGCCACCACUGAGUAACAUGAAAUCCACCUCCAAUUUGUUCUUAUUAUUUCUAUGUUUUUUUUAUUGUUUUCUUAGAUCUGUUUGGAUUGUGAGUAGGUAAUUGAUGCAUAAUCCUACACUUGAUCAGAGGACGGCUUUUGUCGUCCAUAUGACGUUACACAUCUCUGCAUCUGAAUCCAGUCACAACAUAUCCUUUAUUGUUUAUAGUUUAUGUGGAAUUUUUACAGUAUCAGAGGAUGAAACCUUAUAACAAUCUUAGGACACCUUCUGACACAGUGCAAUCACACUGUGAAUGAGAAGGCUUUUCUUUCUGAUGAUGCUUUAAAUAUCCAAUUUAUAUUCUUUCAUCCAAUCUUGCGUGUUUUAUAAUUGUUUCUGCUUCCUACAUCUAUGAUUUUGAGCCUGUGAUGAUUAGCAUAUUGUUGGAAUUACCGUCGGAUUAUCAAAUGACGACAUUUGUCUGUCUUCCUGAGGCUUAAUCCAAUAAUAUUGUAGUUUAUAUAGAUCUAAAUUCUGUUCAUGUAUUAUGAGUUGCAACCUUGUCCCGGUGAGGAAUCUAAGACCAUAGGAAGUGCCGUAUGACACUUUAAACAGCAGCUGCUUUUCUCCUUUGCAAGUGUCCAUCCUUCGACCAUAACCUUUGUGGUUUGGUCUUGGAUGGAGUACCCAUUUGCAAUUGGUUUAAUUCGGGUGUGUGUGUGAUUUUAAACGGGUCUCUGAGGGAUUGUGCGUAGCUUUGUCUCAUAUAAUCUAAAAUUUGCAUCUGCUAUUUUUGUGAUUGUUUAGGCCUGAUGCCACGUCACCUGUAGCUAUGGCUUUGACCGGUGAUGCUUUGAUUAGGCCAAAACCGAGUUGGUUUCGGACGUUUCACAUGUUUAUAGGAACCUGGGACUGCAUCUCCAUCGGUCUACAGAGCCGGUUUCUGUGAUUACAUUUGAUUUAUUUGAAGUAACAACUUUUUUGGUUUUUGUUUUUAUUUUCUUACAAAUCCUUAAUAGUAUGGCAAUGAUGAUAAAUUUAAGGCUUGUUUCUCAUAACAUUCGCAGUUGCCGCCUAAGAGCUCUCGCCCUGCCAGGCUUGAGAGCUAAUGCUGUUGAUUCCUUCCUUUGAGCCAUUUUCUUU
rnacentral:snoRNA from 1 species